AGCGCUCUCUUCGGAGGGAGCGGCGGACGGGUUAGUAACGCGUGGGAAUGUACCCUUCUCUAUGGAAUAGCCAUUGGAAACGAUGAGUAAUACCAUAUACGCCCUUCGGGGGAAAGAUUUAUCGGAGAAGGAUCAGCCCGCGUUAGAUUAGAUAGUUGGUGGGGUAAUGGCCUACCAAGUCUACGAUCUAUAGCUGGUUUUAGAGGAUGAUCAGCAACACUGGGACUGAGACACGGUCCAGACUCCUACGGGAGGCAGCAGUGGGGAAUAUUGCACAAUGGGGGAAACCCUGAUGCAGCCAUGCCGCGUGUGUGAAGAAGGCUCUAGGGUUGUAAAGCACUUUCAGCGAGGAGGAAAGGGUGUAUGUUAAUAGCAUGCAUCUGUGACGUUACUCGCAGAAGAAGCACCGGCUAACUCCGUGCCAGCAGCCGCGGUAAU
rnacentral:rRNA from 1 species